UGUGUGUUAAUAUAUCCAUCUAUUGUGCAAACAUUAAAACAAGAAAACAUAUUAGAGAAUGCAGUGAGUUUCUGAUCUUGAGGUUGUUCUGAAGUUGCUUAUACCAUAUUGACUUCGUUGAAUGAAAGCCAUAAGUUGAUGGAGUUGAUCCUUUGUCAAUAAAUUGUGCUCUUCUCUCUUGAGUUCAGUUUGUGCAUCAACAAAGGACACUUAAUCGAUAGUGGGUUGUCUGAUCUAGUUUUGGGUCCUUUGUUCUU
rnacentral:lncRNA from 1 species